AGCGAACGCUGGCGGCAGGCCUAACACAUGCAAGUCGAACGAAGUCUUCGGACUUAGUGGCGGACGGGUGAGUAACACGUGGGAACGUGCCCUUUGGUACGGAAUAACUCAGGGAAACUUGAGCUAAUACCGUAUGUGCCCUUCGGGGGAAAGAUUUAUCGCCAUUGGAGCGGCCCGCUUCUGAUUAGCUAGUUGGUGAGGUAAAGGCUCACCAAGGCGACGAUCAGUAGCUGGUGUGAGAGGAUGAUCAGCCACAUUGGGCCUGAGACACGGCCCAAACUCCUACGAGAGGCAGCGGUGGGGAAUCUUGCGCAAUGGGCGAAAGCCUGACGCAGCCAUGCCGCGUGAAUGAUGAAGGUCUUAGGAUUGUAAAAUUCUUUCACCGGGGACGAUAAUGACGGUACCCGGAGAAGAAGCCCCGGCUAACUUCGUGCCAGCCGCCGCAGUAAAAC
rnacentral:rRNA from 1 species